rnacentral:rRNA from 1 species
GAAACCAACAGGGAUUGCCUCAGUAACGGCGAGUGAAGCGGCAACAGCUCAAAUUUGAAAUCUGGCGCCUUCGGCGUCCGAGUUGUAAUUUGUAGAGGAUGCUAUUGGGUUGCCACCGGUCUAAGUUCCUUGGAACAGGACGUCACAGAGGGUGAGAAUCCCGUAUGUGACCGGCCAGGCGCCUUCUGUAUAGCUCCUUCGACGAGUCGGGUUGUUUGGGAAUGCAGCCCUAAAUGGGAGGUAAAUUUCUUCUAAAGCUAAAUACCGGCCAGAGACCGAUAGCGCACAAGUAGAGUGAUCGAAAGAUGAAAAGCACUUUGGAAAGAGAGUUAAAAAGCACGUGAAAUUGUUGAAAGGGAAGCGCUUGCAAUCAGUCUCGACGGCGGCUGUUCGGCCUCUCUUCUGAGUGGUUUAUUCAGUCGCCGCCGGGCCAGCAUCAGUUUCGGCGGUCGGAUAAAGGCGUGGGGAAUGUAGCUCCUCCGGGAGUGUUAUAGCCCCGCGUGCAAUACGGCCCGCCGGGACUGAGGUCCGCGCUUCGGCUAGGAUGCUGGCGAAAUGGUUGUAAGCGGCCCGUCUUGAAACACGGACCAAGGAGUCUAACAUCUACGCGAGUGUUUGGGUGUCAAACCCGUGCGCGCAAUGAAAGUGAACGGAGGUGGGAACCGCAAGGUGCACCAUCGACCGAUCCUGAUGUCUUCGGAUGGAUUUGAGUAAGAGCGUAGCUGUUGGGACCCGAAAGAUGGUGAACUAUGCCUGAAUAGGGUGAAGCCAGAGGAAACUCUGGUGGAGGCUCGCAGCGGUUCUGACGUGCAAAUCGAUCGUCAAAUUUGGGUAUAGGGGCGAAAGACUAAUCGAACCAU